rnacentral:rRNA from 1 species
AGUGAACGCUGGCGGUAGGCCUAACACAUGCAAGUCGAACGGCAGCACAGGAGAGCUUGCUCUCUGGGUGGCGAGUGGCGGACGGGUGAGGAAUACAUCGGAAUCUACUCUGUCGUGGGGGAUAACGUAGGGAAACUAACGCUAAUACCGCAUACGACCUACGGGUGAAAGCAGGGGACCUUCGGGCCUUGCGCGAUUGAAUGAGCCGAUGUCGGAUUAGCUAGUUGGCGGGGUAAAGGCCCACCAAGGCGACGAUCCGUAGCUGGUCUGGGAGGAUGAUCAGCCACACUGGAACUGAGACACGGUCCAGACUCCUACGGGAGGCAGCAGUGGGGAAUAUUGGACAAUGGGCGCAAGCCUGAUCCAGCCAUACCGCGUGGGUGAAGAAGGCCUUCGGGUUGUAAAGCCCUUUUGUUGGGAAAGAAAUCCAGCUGGCUAAUACCCGGUUAGGAUGACGGUACCCAAAGAAUAAGCACCGGCUAACUUCGUGCCAGCAGCCGCAGUAA